UUAAUAGUAUAAUCUGCUCCAUGAAAACUAAAUAGCCGCAAUUUGUGCUAAGGUAGCAUAAUCAUUUGUCUUUCAAAUGAAGACUAGAACAAAAGAUCUAAUAUUCAAAUAUAUUUAUUUAAUUUUAAAUAUUAAACUUUUCUUAAAUAUAAAAAGAUAUUUAUUUUAUAAAAAGACGACAAGACCCUAUUGAACUUUACUUAAGUUAAACUGGGGCAGUUAAUUAAUUAUUAUUUUACUAUAUAUUAUAUAUAAAAAUAUCCAAAAUAAUUGAAUAAUUCAGUUACCACAGGGAUAACAGCGCAAUUUCAUUCUAAAGCUCUCAUUUAAAAAAAAGAUUGCGACCUCGAUGUUGAAUUAAUAAUCUAUUUCAAAGCAAAUUUUAAAUCAGAAAGUCUGUUCGACUUUUAAAAAAUUACAUGAUUUGAGUUCAGACCGGUAUAAGCCAGGUCGGUUUCUAUCUUUUAUAUAUACUUUUACAGUACGAAAGGACCUAAAAAUUCAAUUAAAUUGUAUUAAUUGGCAGAAAAAUGCAUUAGAUUUAGAUUCUAAUACAACU
rnacentral:rRNA from 1 species